rnacentral:lncRNA from 1 species
AUAAUAUUUUAGAAAGGGCUUUAUAUAUAAUUUUAUUAUUAUGUAAAAACUGUUUUUAUAUUAUAAUAAAUAAAUUAUGUGCAUUACAAUCAAAAUACAAUUAUGAACAUAUCUAUUUUAUUUAUAUGAUAUGUAAUAACAAAAUAUUAUUAAAUAAGACAUUAGAUUAUUUAUUUUAUGUUAUAAACAAUUUUAAUUUACUAAAGUUGCGUAACAAUUUAAGUAACAUAUUAUCUUUGUUAUUCCACAUCUUAAAGUUUAGAAAUGUAUAUAUAAAAGAGUAUAUAAAGCAGUAUUAUACAGAGUUAUUUUUAAUUAUGUUUUACAUGCUAGGAGUGAAUCAAUUGUCACAUAUAAACAACAACAAAGGCAACAUGAACAAUUAUAAGAUAGGAAAUUAUACCAAGCAGGAUGGUGUCCUUGCACAUAGUAGUGGGGCUGCUCUAUAUAAUAGUAUCAUACGUAGUAGUAACAGUAGUAUUAGUAGUAAUGUUAUAGUUAGUAAAUAUAAUGCAAGUAAUACUUACAGUCGUGAUAUUGAAGACGUACUAAACGAAAAAAAAAAUUUAACCACUAGUAACUUAGAAACAUAUAGUAAAGAGAAAGAAGUUAGUCACGAUAUUAGUAGUAACAUUAGUGAAAAAAGUCAAAAUUAUUUAAAAGAUUCACGUGAUAAAUCAUUUCCCAAUGUAUAUACAAAUGAAGAAAUGAAAAGCACGUACAGCAACGCAUUCACAGAUGUAAUUAACGGUUUAAAAUUCAGUUUUUUCGCAAAAAAAAAAAAGUAUAUUUAAAAAUAAAAGUAUUAAAAGUUGUUCUAAAACAGAAUUUAAUAAAAAGAUAUAUAAUAAUUAUGUUUAUAAUAUAAGUGUAAAUAAUACUGUUAAUUGUCUGAACAUAAUAAAAGAAUUAUUAAAAAUAAAUAAUAAAAAAAAAAUAUUAAGUUAUUAUGAAAAAAAUCAGAUUGAAAAAUUGUUAUAUUUUAAACAUUCUUUUGAAAAAGGGUUAAUUAAAUUGAUAUAUAUUUAUUUAAAAAAUAAUGACUGUUCUAAAAUAAUAAAUUUUGUUAAUUUUUUUAUAAAAAGCAAUAAUAUAAAAUAUAUUAUCAUAUCUUUAAUAGUGUUAUCCCAAAUGCCUUUGUGUAUAAAUAUAAAAGACGAAAAUUUAAAGCUAAUGGAGGAGUAUAUAUUUAUAUUAUAUACUAUAAAUUUCAAGUACAAUGACAAUUUAGUUAUGAAAUAUAUUCGUAUAGCAUAUAAAAACUUAUUUAUUAUAUUCAAAAAUAUCAUUUCGUACCAAAUAAAACACCAAAUAAAACCUUAUUCGAUAUUUAUAAAUGAAAAAUAUACACUUAACAUAUUAAACUCUUUAUUCUACCAGAUUAGUUUACACUAUGACAAUAGCCACAACGGUAUCAGUAGACACAGCACUAAUCAUAAUAAUGAUGUAAUGUUAAAGGAAACGCUAAAAGUGUUGAAGGAAGCCUGUACAUAUGAAAGCAGUUAUUGGUGUUCUCCUGUGUGUUCAUCCUUUGUUUAUACUUUGACACAUCCAGCUAUAGUACUUUUUUAUUUAAAUAAUACUAAACCAACUGGGAAAAUAUAUAUAUGUAAAAUUUUAUGUGAAUUGUUUAAAACAUUUCGAAGAGAGAAGAAAAUAAAGAAUGCUACAAAUAGUAAGUUAUUAUAUCCAAACACAAAAGCGGACACAAACAAAAAUGUAGUAACAAGAUGUAACAAGUUAAAAAAAAGGUAUUUUUAUGAGAUUGCUACUUAUUUAUUUAUACACUUGCUAGACAAAAAAAAAAAUAUUAAUAAAAACGUGUGGUUUGCUCUGAAACAGUUAUUAAAGUAUAAAUUUUCAAGCAAAGUUAAUGACACUUUACUUUUUUUUUAUGUACAAUUUUUUUUAUCAACUAAAAAAGAGUUAAAACAAAAUAAAAAGUAUCUUUUUGUUUCGAAUAAGUAUAUAAACGGAGAAAAAAAAAAAAAAAAAGUUCGUAGCAAAAAGGAAAAUAGUUACAAUAGUGUUAACCAUGACCAAAUGACUGGUAAUACUUAUUUCGAGAAGGAGAACAACAUAAUCGAAAAGAAUGAAUCAUACCAUUUUCGUUUUAAAGCGGAUUAUUCGGAUAAUGAAAUUAAGCAAAGUACAGUUAUGAAUGGGUUAGUUUUGAACCGGUUAAAACUGGAAAAGAGUGGUGGAACUAGUAGGAAAAAAAGCGGUGAAAUAAGUAUGGAAAAAAGGGGUGAAAUAAGUAUGGAAAAAAGCGGUGAAAUAAGUAUGGAAAAAAGCGGUGAAAUAAGUAUGGAAAAAAGAGGUGAAAUAAGUAUGGAAAAAAGAGGUGAAAUAAGUAUGGAAAAAAGCGGUGAAAUAAGUAUGGAAAAAAGNNNNNNNNNNGGUGAAAUAAGUAUGGAAAAAAGCGGUGAAAUAAGUAUGGAAAAAAGAGGUGAAAUAAGUAUGGAAAAAAGCGGCGAAGUAAGUAUGGAAAAAAGUGAGACAACCGGUGGAAAAAAAAGUACCAACAAUUGCUACAACAACAGCUCCACCCGCGUUACUAGUAGUAGUAGUAUAACAACUACUGCAAAUAAUAAUAAAAAAAAUGUAAACAACCAUGACAAAUAUAAUUUAAGUGGAAGCAUAUAUAUUGAUAAUAAUAAUCACGCUUGGGUAAAUAGAAAAAUGGAAAAUUUUAACGACAGGAAAGUAGAAUAUAACAAAGAAAAUAAAAACAAAAAAAUAACAAAAAGGAAUAAUAAUAAAAACAGAAAAAUGUGUCAAACAAACGAUUAUAAAAAAACACAGAACACAACAUAUGAUAACAAAUUUGACAUUACAUCUACAACCGAAUCCAACGAAACAAGCAAUAAUAAUAGUGAAUUCGAAUUUUCAGACGAAAACAAAAAACAAUUAAUUAAUACAUAUUAUUAUAAACUGUUAGUAGAAGUUUUUAUUCCUCUCUUGAUUUGUAUUGAUACCAAAGUAGCAUAUAAAAAGAAUGUGUUCGCCAAAAUAAAUAAUUAUUUAUAUAAGCAUGCAAUAUCUUUUAAGCGUUUAAAAAAAAUAGAUAUGUUAUUAGUAAUAAAGCAAGAAAAUGAUAAAUUAUAUAAUAUAUUUUUAAAUCAUUUAAAAUUAAAUAUGAAGAAUAUUAGUAGUAUAUAUAGAGCUUUUGUUAUUCUAUUAAAUAGUAGAAGACACUUUGAUAAGCAUGUGUGGGAACAUGAAAUACAAAUUAACGAAGACGUAAUGCAAAUAAUAAAAGAGUAUGAGCUUAAAAAUAUUCAAUCAAGAGCUGAACAUGUAUUAUUUGGUGAUUUGAAAAUACAUACACAAUCAAAAAGUAUUGAUCAAACAUAUAAGUAUAAAAUGGAUAAUGAUGACGAAGAAAAUAAAUUACAAAAUGGUAUGACUGAUACGUCAAUAAAUAUAAAAUUAGACACUUCAAUUGAUUCGAAUAAAUAUAUUAUGACUAAAACUGAAAAUAUGUGCAGUAGUACUGGUAAUAAUAAUACUUUUCAAACCAAUGUAAAUGAUAAGACAAACCCAAUAACAAAUAUAAAUUCUUUCAUUCUUUCUAAAAACAAAACAAAGGAAUGUCUAAAUAGAAAAGAAGAGCUUAAUAAUCAGUAUACGAAAGAUGUUUUGUCUAAUAAGGUGUUAUUGAAUAGUUGGGAUAAUUUUACGCAAUUAGAGCACCCAGGUGAAGGAUUCGGAACCGCCAUGCUCGCGGGUAAUAAAAAUGGUUUCUCCAACAACAUCAAAAACGACAGCCAAAAUGACAGCCAAAAUGACAGCCAAAAUGACAGCCAAAAUGACAGCCAAAACGACAACAAAAACGACAGCAAAAACGACAGCAAAAACGACAGCAAAAACGACAGCAAAAACGACAGCAAAAACGACAGCAAAAACGACAGCAAAAACGACAGCAAAAACGACAGCAAAAACGACAGCAAAAACGACAGCAACAUGAACAGUAAUAAUGAUUAUAAUAGUGACAAACAUAAACACGUUUCUUUUAAGAAUAGUAUAAUGGACAUACUGAAAAAUAAUAAUAAUAGUAAUAAUAAUAAUAAUAAUAAUAAUAAUAAUAAUAACAUACACCAUAAGAAUAGCGAGUGUCGUAGUUAUAGUAUAUUGUCAUGUGAAGGGGAUGACGAUUAUACAUUAUUCGAGGAACAACUAAUAGCAACUAUUCCGAACAGUGACUUAUUUAGUCAUAAAAAUAAAAUAUACAAUGAGAAUUUUCAUAUUUAUAUUUCGAGCAGUGAUUAUGAUAGUGCUGAGGAAGAUAGUGACAGGAAAAAAAAAAUAUUUAUAAAAAAAAAAAAAGGAAAUAUUAAAGAGUCUUCCGAUUUAGCUGAAAAAGUAAAAACAGAAGAAUUGUCAAGUUAUUAUAAAAAUAUCAAAUACUUAAAAAGAAAAUAUAAAAAAUUAGUACAUUUAAAUCAACGUUUCAACUUUUAUCAAAAUUUUAAAAACAUGCAAAAAUUAAAUAUAAAUGAUAGCUGUUUAUAUUGGAUUGAAUUAUUAAAUAUAUUAAAAGAUGAUGUACCUCCGAAAAUUGUUUACUCAAAUGAAAUAAAAACAAUAAACCCUUGUGAAUAUUUUGAAUCAUCUCUUAUAUUUUCUUUUAGUGUUAUAAAAUUUAUUUCUCUAAGUUUAAAUUCGAAUAAACUAUAUACCAUAUGUUUAACUUUUUUCAAAAAUUCAAGUAAACAUGAUCAACCAGAUAAAAUAUAUAAUGGGCGAGACAUUUAUACUGAACAAAACAGAAUGGAAGAAAUGUAUUUUAUACAAUCAUUAUUCACAUCAACCAAAUUAGAAGCCUUAUGUUCGUCUAUUAUUAAACAAGUAUGUACUUAUUUGCAAAAUGACAAAACACCUUUGCACUUACCUAUUAUUAAAACACUAGCUAUUGUGUCUACGUUAAAACCUUCUUCCUAUUUUUUGUUUGAUUCAAAACGGAAGUAGGUAGUAAAUGUAGCGACUUAUAUUUUAUUACAUGAGACAAGUUAUAUAUAUAUAUAUAUAUAUAUAUAUGGCUACAUAUACGUACGCUCACGCAUUAACACACCCUGGAAUAUAAAAUAUAUAGUGGUACAUAUAUUUGUUCAUUUUAUUCCGUUUCACGCAUGUAUAUCUUGUUAUAUGUAUACAUAAAACCUCUUUUUUAGCCUACAUAUUUUACUUUCUUUCUUUUUCUUUUUUUGUAUAUCGUUUUUGUUCAUUUUCUUUUGCUUUUUUUUUUAAUCGUAUAUUUUUCCUUAAAAUUUUGCUUAAAAUUUUGCUUUAAUGCAUUAGAAAAAAAAAAAAAAAAAAAAAAAAAAAAAACAGCUAGCUAUUUUUUUUAAUAAAAAUUUGUUUUUCAUUUUAUUGAUAGAACA